rnacentral:rRNA from 1 species
GACGAACGCUGGCGGCGUGCUUAACACAUGCAAGUCGAACGGAAAGGCCCUGCUUUUGUGGGGUGCUCGAGUGGCGAACGGGUGAGUAACACGUGAGUAACCUGCCCUUGACUUUGGGAUAACUUCAGGAAACUGGGGCUAAUACCGGAUAGGAGCUCCUGCUGCAUGGUGGGGGUUGGAAAGUUUCGGCGGUUGGGGAUGGACUCGCGGCUUAUCAGCUUGUUGGUGGGGUAGUGGCUUACCAAGGCUUUGACGGGUAGCCGGCCUGAGAGGGUGACCGGCCACAUUGGGACUGAGAUACGGCCCAGACUCCUACGGGAGGCAGCAGUGGGGAAUAUUGCACAAUGGGCGGAAGCCUGAUGCAGCAACGCCGCGUGCGGGAUGACGGCCUUCGGGUUGUAAACCGCUUUCGCCUGUGACGAAGCGUGAGUGAUGGUAAUGGGUAAAGAAGUACCGGCUAACUACGUG